rnacentral:rRNA from 1 species
CACAAGCGGUGGAGUAUGUGGUUUAAUCGAUGCAACGCGAAGACCUUACCUGGUCUUGACAUCCCGGGAAUCUCUUGGAAACUUGAGAGUGCCUUCAUUCGAAGGAGCCUGGAGACAGGUGCUGCAUGGCUGUCGUCAGCUCGUGUCGUGAGAUGUUCGGUUAAGUCCGCUAACGAGCGCAACCCUCGCUGUGUGUUACAAGUGUCACACGGAACUGCCGGUCAUAAACCGGAGGAAGUGGGAUGACGUCAAGUCAGCAUGGCCUUUAUAUCCUGGGCUACACACACGCUACAAUGGGAAGGGACAAUAGGUUGCGAAGCCGCGAGGCGGAGCCAAUCCAGCAAAACUUCCCUCAGUUCAGAUUGCAGGCUGCAACCCGCCUGCAUGAAGUUGGAGUUGCUAGUAAACGCAGGUCAGCCAUACUGCGUUGAAUACGUCCCCGGGGCUU